rnacentral:rRNA from 1 species
CCCCUAGAUGUUCUGGGCCGCACGCGCGCUACACUGAACAGUUCAACAAGUCUUAACCUUGGCCGAUAGGUCUGGGUAAUCUUUGAACGCUGUUCGUGAUUGGGAUAGACCUUUGCAAUUAUGGGUCUUCAACGAGGAAUUCCUAGUAAACGCAAGUCAUCAGCUUGCAUUGAUUACGUCCCUGCCCUUUGUACACACCGCCCGUCGCACCUACCGAUUGAAUGGUCCGGUGAAAUCUCGGGACGGCGGCUUGGUCGCUUGCGUCCGACUGCUGAAACUUGAUUAAACCAUACCAUUUAGAGGAAGGUGAANUCGUAACA